GACGAACGCUGGCGGCGUGCCUAAUACAUGCAAGUAGGACGCAGUUGCGAACGGGUGAGUCACGCGUAGGUAACUGACUAUUAGAGGGGGAUAACUAUUGGAAACGAUAGCUAAUACCGCAUACUAGUAGAUGGACCUGCUUUGUAUUGGCUAGUUGGUAGGGUAAUGGCCUACAAAGGCGACGAUACAUAGCCGACCUGCGAGGGUGAACGGCCACACUGGGACUGAGACACGGCCCAGACUCCUACGGGAGGCAGCAGUAGGGAAUCUUCGGCAAUGGGUGGAACCCUGACCGAGCAACGCCGCGUGAGUGAAGACGGUUUUCGGGUCGUAAAGCUCUGUUGUUAAGGAAGCGGUACUUAACCAGAAAGGGACGGCUAACUACGUGCCAGCCGCCGCGGUAAUUC
rnacentral:rRNA from 1 species